UACGGAGGGUGCGAGCGUUGUCCGGAAUCACUGGGCGUAAAGGGCGCGUAGGUGGCGCGAGGAGUCUGUGGUGAAAGCCCGAGGCUCAACUUCGGGUCGGCCGCGGAUACUCUCGUGCUGGAGGGUGGUAGAGGCCAAUGGAAUUCCGGGUGUAGCGGUGGAAUGCGUAGAGAUCCGGAAGAACACCGGUGGCGAAGGCGGUUGGCUGGGCCACACCUGACACUGAGGCGCGACAGCGUGGGGGAGCAAACAGG
rnacentral:rRNA from 1 species